UCCCAGACUCCUACGGGAGGCAGCAGUGGGGAAUAUUGGGCAAUGGGCGCAAGCCUGACCCAGCAACGCCGCGUGAAGGAAGAAGGCCCUCGGGUUGUAAACUUCUUUUAUCAGGGACGAAACAAAUGACGGUACCUGAUGAAUAAGCCACGGCUAACUACGUGCCAGCAGCCGCGGUAAUACGUAGGUGGCAAGCGUUAUCCGGAUUUACUGGGUGUAAAGGGCGUGUAGGCGGGUCUGCAAGUCAGAUGUGAAAUCUCAUGGCUCAACCAUGGAACUGCAUUUGAAACUGGCAAACUGGAGUGUGUGAGAGGAUAGUGGAAUUCCAGGUGUAGGAGUGAAAUCCGUAGAUAUCUGGAGGAACAUCAGUGGCGAAGGCGACUAUCUGGCACAUAACUGACGCUGAGGAGCGAAAGCGUGGGUAGCAAACAGGAUUAGAUACCCGGGUA
rnacentral:rRNA from 1 species